CCUGGUGCUAAGGUCGCCUGGCGGCGGCGUGCUUCGUCGGCUUUGAUUGAAAAGGCAAGCACGCGAAACCACAAAAUGCGACUCUUAGACGUCCAAAAAUGCAUAAAGAGUGAAUUUUGAUUCGGAACUAUUAGCUGCAAAUCUAGAAUAACGGUGUAGUAGCAGAGUCAAGGAAUUGCGUGAAUGGUUACCAUUAUAGGAAGGAGGCAUUUCUGUGGAAAAGAUUAAAUUUUGACAACUGGGCUCAUAGCCAUGAUUCGGGAAUAACAUUCUUCUCAAUGAGAAGAGCUGAGACUUGUGACUUGAGUGCAUUGAGAAGGAAGCGGGGAAUAACAACUAGGCAGUCUUGCUGCGGGAGGUGGUGGACUAGCGAUGUGAUGCGGGUGGAAAUCGGGUGUUAGCUACUGGAUACCUUUGUUGCGGUGUUGUGUUGGAAUGGUGUGAAUUGCUACAUUGGUGAGUCUCGACUCCAGAAGUUGGACACAACCCCAUCUUAUGACUCUAGCCGACAGAGGACCAAUAGAAGCUAAACUAGUUUAGGUUGUUCACAACUGAUCGGUUCAAAAACCAAGAAGGCCAAUAGGAUGUUCCCGUUGGGGGUCGAACUUGUAAUCUUGUGUCCUUGUGAUUACUAAGUUAACAGCGUAACCAAUUUGGCUGAGAAGGGUUUGGUAAAGGUAGUGAUUCUUGAGCCAGUUGCAUGCUGCUGGAGAUUAAUGGGAAUAUUGCCUGCAAGCAUGCCUACCACUAAUGUUAGAGCGAGCUUUUAUGUUGUUUAUAUGACUCUUUCCUAUGUUUAUGCUAACAAUAGUGUCCAGCAAAACUAGAGUCUAUGUACUCUUCCAACAGGUUUAGUUGUCUGUCAAACUAUAAUCUGCUUUGGGCUUAAACACCGAUGAAUAACCUGAAUGCAUCAACAUCAGCCAUUUGACCGAUGGAAUGAAUCUCGUGUUAUCUUAGGUUAUUCAUCUGAUCGAGCUUGUAAUCAGUUGACGACUUCCUAGCAUUUGAACAUGUUCCAAUCACCAGUGAUCUGUUUCGACUCCAUCUCUGAGAACACCACCAGAAGAGUAACCGGAGACAUCUCCCGCCUUCAAUCUAUGAUCUUGUGAUGGUGCAAUGGUGUUUGUUUGUUUCUUUGUUUUUUAACAUUAAGUUUCUCAGUUUAUGUCAGACCAAUCUAAGUUCCUAAAAUCCUUGCCCAAGAGUCAUUGGAGGAAAUAAAUCACGAGUUGCUCAAACAGUCUUUCAGUCAGUCCAUGUCGUGUAUUUACAAAUCGCUGUCAGUUAAGAUUCUGAAAUCGGUACCUCAAGUUUAUCUAUGACUUGAUGAAUGUACUAUGCUUUAUGCAUGAAUAAUUGGCUAACUAAUGCAAAAGCAACAGAACA